CUGUGGAGGCAGCAGCGCGUUUAGGUUUUUGCCAGUUUGAGAUACUUCGGUUUGUGAAGCCGAGCCCUAAGGGACAACGCUUGGUAACGGAGAAAGAGAUCGUAGAUAAAGAAAUAAAAGUGACAAGCGUAAUGGAGGCUCUGGGAGACGACUGUCAGAGACCAGCUCGGGGAUGGCAAUUUCGCCAGGCUGAGGUUGAAUAAUUCAUAGAUCGAAAUUACCCUGCUUUCACCUUUCCAUUUAAACCGGCAUGAUCUGAAUCUCUAAUAAAUUUUCCAAGAUAAAGUAAAAUGCCAGUUUGAGUCUGAAGAGCUUUUAAAACCAGAUGCGGCCUCCCUGAAUCUUGCGGUAUCUUUCCCAAUCAUCCUGCGAGAACCGCACUUCAUCACAAAGCAGCAUCACCAGGAAGAAGGACGGUGAUUGCGGCAGUGACAGCAGAGUGCCACCAAACGAUCUCUCGUUUCCCUGAUUUGCUAAGACUGACUGUGUGGCUUUAGUGCCCAUUGUCCAUCACCGUGCCUGGCACAGGCGGAUCUGUCUCGCUCCGGAACAAAAGUGAGGCGGUGUGUGAAAUAAAUACCUGAACUCUGAAAGCCUAGCAGAGCUCAUUCUCCUAGGCUGCAGUGCCUCCUUCGUUUGGUGGGCGUUUUUGCACUUUUUGCAUUUUUUUUUGUUUGUUUGUUUGUUUUUGUUUUCCAAUGCGUACAACCCCAAAUGCCUGUUUGGGAGAAAUGGUGAGCCUGUCGUGGAUUUGGGGUUGAUGCCUUGAUAUAGGAGAGCACGGGCUUGUUCAUUUAUGUCCCCUUUAUUUUCAUGUUUACAAGCAUGUGUUUACCAGAAGGGAGGAAAGAUUCUGUUCUGGGAGAGUAGUUUAAAAAAUGCAGUCAAGACAAAGCCUGUGUCUUUGUUUCUCCUUUGAAACCCCUUUUCAGGUUAGAGAUUCCUUCCGGACAUUCUAAUCCUGGUAUGAUUCAAAAGGAGCUCAGGAGACACCUGCAGUAAUAACUGUGCAGCUUUUAUUAAAAGCUUGUAUUUCUGAUGGAGUGAUUAAAGGCAGCUUUGCUGGGACUUCGGUUGUGGGCAUGUCUGCCAGCUCUCUAGUGCAGUCGAAACUGAAGACUUUUUCGGACAGCCUGCGUGGUCCCUUUCAGGGUAACUCUGCCUCCUCCCAUCCCCCGCCAAAAAGUGGCUCACGAAGCCUCGCUGGAGAACGGACCCUGUGCCUUCAUUUAGUUCCCAGUAGCAUGAAGACAGUGUGCGGGUUCCUGCUAGUCAACUGACUCAAGUGUGAUUUUUCUAAGGCAGGGUUUCCGAGGGAUGCCAGUUCUUGGGGAGGAAGAGGCCACUGCAAGCCUGUGUGACUCUGGAGGGAAACUACCCUCCUCCAGACGGCCUGGCAAGACCCUUCCUAUGGAAAUCGCUCCUGAGGUAUGAGGACGGUGUGGCUCACGGCGGGUGACCAGACGCCUUGGCUCAGAAAUCAUGGGAUUUUUGAUCUCCCUGAAGACACGGCUCUGGAAUUAUUCAGAUCUUGCCUGAUCGCCCCGACACCUAAACGGAGAGGCUCCUCAGAUAGAAGCAGGACAAAAGAAGUCUUUGCUGAAUUCAACAGACGCCCUGCAUUCACUUGCUUUGCCCCUUGCUGUGUUUCAAAAUUACCCACCAACAUCUAUAUGCAAAGAAGCAAGAUGGGGACAGUCUGUGUUUGUAGUCUCAGUCCAAUACACACACCAUGCCAAAGAGAGAAUCGGAUUCCAUUUUGGAGCCGAGGUCUCAGGUCCAAUUUAAUUUGAUCCCCAAAAGACCAAGCUGAUUAAUUGUCAGCUCCAGCCUUUCUUCGAAGGAAACCUUAAUCCCCCGUAAUUUGCCAUGAAAUUAGUGGGAGUUGGCUCUUUGAGGCAUGAAUAGCGUGGGUCCUGUUCAAACCUCCCCGGGGCCGUAUUUUCGGCGAGGUGGGGAUGGGGCUGGCCGCCCAGAAGAGAAGCAGGUGUAAUGCGGAUUAGGUCACAUGGUGGGAAGGGGGCUGCGGUGGGCAGGCAGCUGGUGAAAUCCCAGGUGUGUGUGAGUUGGCAGGGGUACAAAGAGAGGAGGGCUGCGAACAGCUCAAAGUCCCUGGGCUGUGCAGCUGCCUGUUUGGCACUUGCUUCGGACCCACCUGUCGUGUUGAGGGGCACAACCCACUCCGAGGAGCGGGGAAACAUGAAAGGUCUCCCGCAGCUACAGCACCCCGCCCGGCCCGGGAGGAAGGCAGGGAGCAAGGCUGCCGGGGAGCGGCCAGGCAAAGGCAGGAUCUCCCUCGUGCUCCAUAACCUCCAAAUGCUUAAGUCAGGGCAGGUCUGGCUUUUUUUCCUCAACAGGCAGCCUUUGGGGGCACCUGGCAGGGCUUAGGUCGUGAUCCCAGAGCCCUGGGAUCGAGCCCCGCAUCGGGGUCCCUGCUCAGCGGGAAGCCUGCUUCUCCUUCUCCCACUCCCCCACCUCUGUUCCCUCUCUCGCUGUCUCUCCAUCAAAUAAAUAAAUAAACUCUUUAAAACAAAACAAAACAGUAGUCUUUGGAGGACCAAGAUAAAGCUCUGGACAGUCUUUCCAUCCGGAGCCCAUCCCCGAGUUCACCUGGAGAGUCCGUGAAAAACCCCCAGAGCUGGCAAGUAAGUCAACAGGCAGAGAUACUCAGGGAUCAAAACAGGCUCAAGGCCAAGAGGCAAAAAUAAAUGAUGAUCCUUUCUCCCGGGGCUGUGGGGAGCUCCUGUAAACAGGCUCAUCCCAACAAGCCUUUCUUAAUCUCUGUCCUGCUGCUAAUCGCAGCGGUGGGUUUUGCAGGAUGGGUUACCUUCUUGGGGAGGCUAGUGUUUCGGAUUCUGUCACUGUGAAGGAGGGAACGCCUCUGGCUCUCCGAGGUCAGUGAAAAGGGCACCCUCUGUCAGGUGCCUGGGCUUGCGAGGAGUGAUAUCUCCUCUCCAUCCCGAGCCAGCCUCCAAAACAGUUAUGAAGCAGGUGCAGCCCAUAUGACUGACCUCCUGGGAGCCAGACUCUGCAGCGUCCGGGCCUGGCUGUGUGACAUCUGGGGUCAUGGAGACGGGAGCAGAAGAUGUUGGUGAAAGACGUUUGUUUUCCCCAUACCAGCUCCCCCCCAUUCCGAAUUUGCCCCUUCUUCCUACCUGGAACGCAGGACACCCUCCUCCCGCAGAGAUGGGAGCCAUCGAUGGAAGGUGUCAGGGCAGGGAGAGAAAAGGAGCCUGUGGUCUCAGUGGCAUGGCUGUACCACUGUACCAGCCCCAGCUGCCCACUCUGGCCUUCCUGCUACGAAGGAUGGCCCUGUGGCUCCUGAACUCCAGUGGGCCUCUGAAUCACCUGGAGGGCUCCUAAAAGCAUGGGCUUCUGGGAACUUCCUCCAGAGCGUCUGAUUCAGAAGGUCUGGGGUGAGGCCUGAAAUAGGUUCCCAGCUAAAGCUGAUUCCACUGGUUGGAGCCCAGGCUAGAGAACCACUAGAGGACUGAGCUGCCCUCUGUUGAAGCCUCUGGCUUCUUGUAUUCGUAGCAGAAUUCAGUCCCAGCUGAUGCACUGACCUCUGACCCCUCAGUAGCCACAACAGCUCGCCUGAUCCCUCCCCUCCAGAAAGGGGCUGAAAACUCACUAAACCACCAGGCAUAGAAACCAAUGAGGCUGGCAGUCAAUCUGCACUCUGAUCAAAGAGGAAUCAUCGAUGCAAAGAAAAGGAUCUCUGCUUUCAACUUGGAGGCUGCGUUGGAGCUGAAUGGGGGAGAUGUUUGAGAGCAGGAAAGCUUUCCUGGAACCCCUGAAAUCACACCAGAGAGACCCUUCCCUUUUCGGACCCACAAGUGGGUUUUCACAGGCGUUCUUCCUUCUACAGGCCGUUAUCCUCAGGCGGGAGAGUACAUUAGCUAGGGGGACUUGGGGCAAACUCUUUUCACUUCUCUGAACCUCCAUGGUCUUAUCUGUAAAGUCGGAAUGAUAAUACUCAUCACACAGACUCAUUGUC